GAGGCAAUAACAGGUCUGUGAUGCCCUUAGACGUUCUGGGCCGCACGCGCGCUACACUGACGGAGCCAGCGAGUUUAUACCUUGGCCGAGAGGUCCGGGAAAUCUUGUGAAACUCCGUCGUGCUGGGGAUAGAGCAUUGUAAUUAUUGCUCUUCAACGAGGAAUUCCUAGUAAGCGCAAGUCAUCAGCUUGCGUUGAUUACGUCCCUGCCCUUUGUACACACCGCCCGUCGCUACUACCGAUUGAAUGGCUUAGUGAGGCUUCCGGAUUGGUUUAAAGAAGGGGGCAACUCCAUCUUGGAACUGAAAAGCUAGUCAAACUUGGUCAUUUAGAGGAAGUAAAAGUCGUAACAAGGUUUCCGUAGGUGAACCUGCGGAAGGAUCAUUA
rnacentral:rRNA from 1 species